rnacentral:misc_RNA from 1 species
GAUGAAGAACGCAGCGAAAUGCGAUAAGUAAUGUGAAUUGCAGAAUUCAGUGAAUCAUCGAAUCUUUGAACGCACAUUGCGCCCCCUGGUAUUCCAGGGGGCAUGCCUGUCCGAGCGUCAUUACAACCCUCAAGCUCAGCUUGUGUUGGGCCCCGCCGCCCCGGCGGGCCCUAAAGUCAGUGGCGGUGCCGUCCGGCUCCGAGCGUAGUAAUUCUUCUCGCUCUGGAGGUCCGGUCGUGUGCUCGCCAGCAACCCCCAAUUUUUUUCAGGUUGACCUCGGAUCAGGUAGGGAUACCCGCUGAACUUAAGCAUAUCAAUAAGCGGAGGA